rnacentral:rRNA from 1 species
CCCUUAGAUGUUCUGGGCGGCCCGCGCACUACACUGGCACUCCCAAUCAGAGCCUGGAUCUAACACUUUGGGGUAUUCUAUGAAGUGGUGUCGUGACUGGGAUUAACCCUUGCAAUUAUUGGUUACGAACGAGGAAUUCCUUGUAAUCGCGGUUUAUCAGCCCGCGUUGAAUGCGUCCCUGCCCUUUGUACACACCGCCCGUCGCUCCUACCGAUGGAUCGUCCGGUGAAGCUCAUGGAGGGGCGGUUGUCUCAGCUGCCGUCGAAGUGAAAUGGACCUCACGAUCUAGAGGAAGGAGAAGUCGUAACA